rnacentral:rRNA from 1 species
AUUGAACGCUGGCGGCAUGCCUAACACAUGCAAGUCGAACGGCAGCACAGCAGUAGCAAUACUGUGGGUGGCGAGUGGCGGACGGGUGAGGAAUACAUAGGAAUCUGCCCAGUCGUGGGGGAUAACGUAGGGAAACUUACGCUAAUACCGCAUACGACCGUGAGGUGAAAGAGGGGGACCGCAAGGCCUCUCGCGAUUGGAUGAGCCUAUGUCGGAUUAGCUAGUUGGCGGGGUAAAGGCCCACCAAGGCGACGAGCCGUAGCUGGUCUGAGAGGAUGAUCAGCCACACUGGAACUGAGACACGGUCCAGACUCCUACGGGAGGCAGCAGUGGGGAAUAUUGGACAAUGGGCGCAAGCCUGAUCCAGCAAUGCCGCGUGGGUGAAGAAGGCCUUCGGGUUGUAAAGCCCUUUUGUACGGGAAGAAAAGCUUCGGGCUAAUACCCUGGGGUCAUGACGGUACCGUAAGAAUAAGCACCGGCUAACUUCGUGCCAGCAGCCGCGGUAAGAC